AUUGAACGCUGGCGGCAUGCCUUACACAUGCAAGUCGAACGGCAGCACGGGAGCAAUCCUGGUGGCGAGGGGCGAACGGGUGAGUAAAGUAUCGGAACGUGCCCAGUCGUGGGGGAUAACGUAGCGAAAGUUACGCUAAUACCGCAUACGAUCUAUGGAUGAAAGCGGGGGAUCGCAAGACCUCGCGCGAUUGGAGCGGCCGAUAUCAGAUUAGGUAGUUGGUGGGGUAAAGGCUCACCAAGCCGACGAUCUGUAGCUGGUCUGAGAGGACGACCAGCCACACUGGGACUGAGACACGGCCCAGACUCCGACGGGAGGCAGCAGUGGGGAAUUUUGGACAAUGGGCGAAAGCCUGAUCCAGCCAUGCCGCGUGCAGGAUGAAGGCCUUCGGGUUGUAAACUGCUUUUGUACGGAACGAAAAGGUUUGGGCUAAUAAGCUGAGCUCAUGACGGUACCGUAAGAAUAAGCACCGGCUAACUACGUGCCAGCCGCCGCCGCGG
rnacentral:rRNA from 1 species